rnacentral:rRNA from 1 species
AACGAACGCUGGCGGCAGGCCUAACACAUGCAAGUCGAGCGCGCCUUCGGGUGAGCGGCGGACGGGUGAGUAACACGUGGGAAUAUGCCUUUCGGUGCGGAAUAGUCUUGGGAAACUGAGGGUAAUACCGCAUACGCCCCUUGGGGGAAAGAUUUACCGCCGAAAGAUUAGCCCGCGUUGGAUUAGGUAGUUGGUGGGGUAAUGGCCUACCAAGCCGACGAUCCAUAGCUGGUUUGAGAGGAUGAUCAGCCACACUGGGACUGAGACACGGCCCAGACUCCUACGGGAGGCAGCAGUGGGGAAUCUUAGACAAUGGGGGAAACCCUGAUCUAGCCAUGCCGCGUGAUCGAUGAAGGCCUUAGGGCUGUAAAGAUCUUUCAGAUGGGAAGAUAAUGACGGUACCAUCAGAAGAAGCCCCGGCUAACUCCGUGCCAGCCGCCGCCGUAA